rnacentral:rRNA from 1 species
GACAGAGGGUGCAAACGUUGUUCGGAAUUACUGGGCGUAAAGGGCUCGUAGGCGGCCAACUAAGUCGGACGUGAAAUCCCCAGGCUCAACCUGGGAACUGCGUCCGAUACUGGAUGGCUUGAAUCCGGGAGAGGGAUGCAGAAUUCCAGGUGUAGCGGUGAAAUGCGUAGAUAUCUGGAGGAAUACCGGUGGCGAAGGCGGCAUCCUGGACCGGCAUUGACGCUGAGGAGCGAAAGCCAGGGGAGCAAACGGG